rnacentral:rRNA from 1 species
CGGACGGGUGAGUAAUGUCUGGGAAACUGCCCGAUGGAGGGGGAUAACUACUGGAAACGGUAGCCAAUACCGCAUAACGUCGCAAGACCAAAGAGGGGGACCUUAGGGCCUCUUGCCAUCGGAUGUGCCCAGAUGGGAUUAGCUAGUAGGUGGGGUAACGGCUCACCUAGGCGACGAUCCCUAGCUGGUCUGAGAGGAUGACCAGCCACACUGGAACUGAGACACGGUCCAG